AGCGAACGCUGGCGGCAGGUCUAACACAUGCCAGUCGAACGAACUCUUCGGAGUUAGUGGCGGACGGGUGAGUAACACGUGGGAACGUGCCUUUUGGUUCGGAAUAACUCAGGGAAACUUGUGCUAAUACCGAAUGUGCCCUUCGGGGGAAAGAUUUAUCGCCAUUAGAGCGGCCCGCGUCUGAUUAGCUAGUUGGUGAGGUAACGGCUCACCAAGGCGACGAUCAGUAGCUGGUCUGAGAGGAUGACCAGCCACACUGGGACUGAGACACGGCCCAGACUCCUACGGGAGGCAGCAGUGGGGAAUCUUGCGCAAUGGGCGAAAGCCUGACGCAGCCAUGCCGCGUGAAUGAUGAAGGUCUUAGGAUUGUAAAAUUCUUUCACCGGGGACGAUAAUGACGGUACCCGGAGAAGAAGCCCCGGCUAACUUCGUG
rnacentral:rRNA from 1 species